rnacentral:rRNA from 1 species
CCUACGGGCUGCUGCAGUGGGGAAUAUUGGACAAUGGGCGAAAGCCUGAUCCAGCCAUGCCGCGUGUGUGAAGAAGGCCUUCGGGUUGUAAAGCACUUUCAGUGGGGAAGAAAGCCUUGGGGCUAAUACCCUCGAGGAAGGACAUCACCCACAGAAGAAGCACCGGCUAACUCCGUGCCAGCAGCCGCGGUAAUACGGAGGGUGCGAGCGUUAAUCGGAAUUACUGGGCGUAAAGCGCGCGUAGGCGGUCUGAUAAGCCGGUUGUGAAAGCCCCGGGCUCAACCUGGGAACGGCAUCCGGAACUGUCAGGCUAGAGUGCAGGAGAGGAAGGUAGAAUUCCCGGUGUAGCGGUGAAAUGCGUAGAGAUCGGGAGGAAUACCAGUGGCGAAGGCGGCCUUCUGGACUGACACUGACGCUGUGGUGCGAAAGCGUGGGUAGCAAACAGGAUUAGAUACCCCAGUAGUC